CCUACGGGAGGCAGCAGUGAGGAAUAUUGGUCAAUGGGCGCGAGCCUGAACCAGCCAAGUCGCGUGAGGGAAGACGGUCCUAUGGAUUGUAAACCUCUUUUGUCGGGGAGCAAAUGACGCCACGCGUAGCGUUCCGAGAGUACCCGAAGAAAAAGCAUCGGCUAACUCCGUGCCAGCAGCGGCGUUAAUACAGGGGAGGCGAGCGUUAUCCGGAUUUGUUGGGUUUAAAGGGUGCGCGGGGGGAAGAUCAGGUCAGUGGUAAAAUCGAGAGGCUAAACCUCUGCGAGCCGUUGAAACUGGUUUGCUAGAGUGAGCGAGAGGGAUGCGGAAUGCGAGGUGUAGCGGUGAAAUGCAUAGAGA
rnacentral:rRNA from 1 species